GGGUCCGUAGCUCAGUUGGUUAGAGCGCUACGUUGACAUCGUAGAGGUCGAUAGUUCGAAUCUAUUCGGACCCA
rnacentral:tRNA from 1 species